UACGUAGGGUGCAAGCGUUAAUCGGAAUUACUGGGCGUAAAGCGUGCGCAGGCGGCUUUGCAAGACAGAUGUGAAAUCCCCGGGCUUAACCUGGGAACUGCAUUCGAUACUGCUGCGCUAGAGUACUGGAGAGGAGAUUGGAAUUUACGGUGUAGCAGUGAAAUGCGUAGAUAUCGUAAGGAAGACCAGUGGCGAAGGCGGAUCUCUGGACAGUUACUGACACUGAGGCACGAAGGCCAGGGGAGCAAACGGG
rnacentral:rRNA from 1 species